rnacentral:rRNA from 1 species
UACGAGGGGGGCAAGCGUUGUUCGGAAUUAUUGGGCGUAAAGGGCGCGUAGGUGGCGCGCUAAGUCGGGUGUGAAAUUUCGGAGCUUAACUCCGAAACUGCAUUCGAUACUGGCGUGCUUGAGGACUGGAGAGGAGACUGGAAUUUACGGUGUAGCAGUGAAAUGCGUAGAUAUCGUAAGGAAGACCAGUGGCGAAGGCGGGUCUCUGGACAGUUCCUGACACUGAGACACGAAGGCCAGGGGAGCAAACGGG